rnacentral:misc_RNA from 1 species
UUUCCGUAGGUGAACCUGCGGAAGGAUCAUUAUCGAAAAGCAAUCCGGGUGGGAGGCCACCGAGCGAAGUUUGGUAGAUCGUAGGGAUUGUCGCUGGCCUUUGGAAACGAAGGCAUGUGCACGUUCCGAGUUCUCCUUAGUCCUCCUUUGCCUUUCCUUUGGAAGACCCUUUCUUCACACCCGUGCACACAUUGUAGGUCUCCGCGAGGGGAUCUAUGUCUUCACAAAACUCUACGUAUGUCCAGGGAUGUAUCUAAAGCGUCGAACGGCUCGGCUCCAUGACCGGUCGCCGACGGUAAAGAACCAUAAUACAACUUUCAGCAACGGAUCUCUUGGCUCUC